rnacentral:rRNA from 1 species
UACUGGGCGUAAAGAGCUCGUAAGUGGUUUGUCGCGUUGUUCGUGAAAUCUCACGGCUUAACUGUGAGCGUGCGGGCGAUACGGGCAGACUUGAGUACUGCAGGGGAGACUGGAAUUCCUGGUGUAGCGGUGGAAUGCGCAGAUAUCAGGAGGAACACCGGUGGCGAAGGCGGGUCUCUGGGCAGUAACUGACGCUGAGGAGCGAAAGCGUGGGGAGCGAACAGGAUUAGAUACCCUGGUAGUCCACGCCGUAAACGGCGGGUACUAGGUGUGGGUUUCCUUCCUUGGGAUCCGUGCCGUAGCUAACGCAUUAAGUACCCCGCCUGGGGAGUACGGCCGCAAGGCUAAAACUCAAAGAAAUUGACGGGGGCCCGCACAAGCGGCGGAGCAUGUGGAUUAAUUCGAUGCAACGCGAAGAACCUUACCUGGGUUUGACAUGCACAGGACGCCGGCAGAGAUGUCGGUUCCCUUGUGGCCUGUGUGCAGGUGGUGCAUGGCUGUCGUCAGCUCGUGUCGUGAGAUGUUGGGUUAAGUCCCGCAACGAGCGCAACCCUUGUCUCAUGUUGCCAGCGGGUAAUGCCGGGGACUCGUGAGAGACUGCCGGGGUCAACUCGGAGGAAGGUGGGGAUGACGUCAAGUCAUCAUGCCCCUUAUGUCCAGGGCUUCACACAUGCUACAAUGGCCGGUACAAAGGGCUGCGAUGCCGCGAGGUUAAGCGAAUCCUUUUAAAGCCGGUCUCAGUUCGGAUCGGGGUCUGCAACUCGACCCCGUGAAGUCGGAGUCGCUAGUAAUC